UUCCAGACUCCUACGGGAGGCAGCAGUGGGGAAUAUUGGGCAAUGGGCGAAAGCCUGACCCAGCGACGCCGCGUGAGGGAAGAAGGUCUUCGGAUUGUAAACCUCUUUCAGCAGGGAAGAAGAAAGUGACGGUACCUGCAGAAGAAGUCACGGCUAACUACGUGCCAGCCGCCGCGGUAAUACGUAGGUGGCGAGCGUUAUCCGGAAUUACUGGGUGUAAAGGGAGCGUAGACGGCAGCGCAAGUCUGAAGUGAAAUCCCAUGGCUUAACCAUGGAACUGCUUUGGAAACUGUGCAGCUGGAGUGCAGGAGAGGUAAGCGGAAUUCCUAGUGUAGCGGUGAAAUGCGUAGAUAUUAGGAGGAACACCAGUGGCGAAGGCGGCUUACUGGACUGUAACUGACGUUGAGGCUCGAAAGCGUGGGGAGCAAACAGGAUUAGAUACCCCGGUA
rnacentral:rRNA from 1 species